GGGGGCGUAAUGGGUUCGACGGGGGCAGUUGAGGCCCGAGGAGCAUGCCGAGUUCUGCUGACUCGUAAAACAGGCAGAGACACAUUAAGUGCCGACGAUUACAACUACGCACUGGCUGCCUAAGGGCGCCACAUUCUCUUGGAGCUCGCCUGUCGGCUCCUGUGAGGAUGUCAAAGCAGACAGGCAAACCUGGUGAUCCUGCCCCGGGGUCAGUGGGUUAUUGAGGGGCGCGGGACAUAUGAAGCCUGUCUGCGGGCGUUAUGUGUCCGACAUGAAAACACAGACUAAGCAUGUAGCCGCCUUUGGUUGAAGGCCUUCGGACGGGGGUUCGAUUCCCCCCGCCUCCACCA
rnacentral:tmRNA from 1 species